rnacentral:tRNA from 1 species
GGAGAGGUGGCCGAGCGGUUUAAGGCACCGGUCUUGAAAACCGGCGACGGGGCAACCCGUCCGUGGGUUCGAAUCCCACCCUCUCCGCCA